rnacentral:rRNA from 1 species
UUAAGCGACUAAGCGUACACGGUGGAUGCCCUGGCAGUCAGAGGCGAUGAAGGACGUGCUAAUCUGCGAUAAGCGUCGGUAAGGUGAUAUGAACCGUUAUAACCGGCGAUUUCCGAAUGGGGAAACCCAGUGUGUUUCGACACACUAUCAUUAACUGAAUCCAUAGGUUAAUGAGGCGAACCGGGGGAACUGAAACAUCUAAGUACCCCGAGGAAAAGAAAUCAACCGAGAUUCCCCCAGUAGCGGCGAGCGAACGGGGAGCAGCCCAGAGCCUGAAUCAGUGUGUGUGUUAGUGGAAGCGUCUGGAAAGGCGCGCGAUACAGGGUGACAGCCCCGUACACAAAAAUGCACAUGCUGUGAGCUCGAUGAGUAGGGCGGGACACGUGGUAUCCUGUCUGAAUAUGGGGGGACCAUCCUCCAAGGCUAAAUACUCCUGACUGACCGAUAGUGAACCAGUACCGUGAGGGAAAGGCGAAAAGAACCCCGGCGAGGGGAGUGAAAAAGAACCUGAAACCGUGUACGUACAAGCAGUGGGAGCACGCUUAGGCGUGUGACUGCGUACCUUUUGUAUAAUGGGUCAGCGACUUAUAUUCUGUAGCAAGGUUAACCGAAUAGGGGAGCCGAAGGGAAACCGAGUCUUAACUGGGCGUUAAGUUGCAGGGUAUAGACCCGAAACCCGGUGAUCUAGCCAUGGGCAGGUUGAAGGUUGGGUAACACUAACUGGAGGACCGAACCGACUAAUGUUGAAAAAUUAGCGGAUGACUUGUGGCUGGGGGUGAAAGGCCAAUCAAACCGGGAGAUAGCUGGUUCUCCCCGAAAGCUAUUUAGGUAGCGCCUCGUGAAUUCAUCUCCGGGGGUAGAGCACUGUUUCGGCAAGGGGGUCAUCCCGACUUACCAACCCGAUGCAAACUGCGAAUACCGGAGAAUGUUAUCACGGGAGACACACGGCGGGUGCUAACGUCCGUCGUGAAGAGGGAAACAACCCAGACCGCCAGCUAAGGUCCCAAAGUCAUGGUUAAGUGGGAAACGAUGUGGGAAGGCCCAGACAGCCAGGAUGUUGGCUUAGAAGCAGCCAUCAUUUAAAGAAAGCGUAAUAGCUCACUGGUCGAGUCGGCCUGCGCGGAAGAUGUAACGGGGCUAAACCAUGCACCGAAGCUGCGGCAGCGACACUAUGUGUUGUUGGGUAGGGGAGCGUUCUGUAAGCCUGUGAAGGUGUGCUGUGAGGCAUGCUGGAGGUAUCAGAAGUGCGAAUGCUGACAUAAGUAACGAUAAAGCGGGUGAAAAGCCCGCUCGCCGGAAGACCAAGGGUUCCUGUCCAACGUUAAUCGGGGCAGGGUGAGUCGACCCCUAAGGCGAGGCCGAAAGGCGUAGUCGAUGGGAAACAGGUUAAUAUUCCUGUACUUGGUGUUACUGCGAAGGGGGGACGGAGAAGGCUAUGUUGGCCGGGCGACGGUUGUCCCGGUUUAAGCGUGUAGGCUGGUUUUCCAGGCAAAUCCGGAAAAUCAAGGCUGAGGCGUGAUGACGAGGCACUACGGUGCUGAAGCAACAAAUGCCCUGCUUCCAGGAAAAGCCUCUAAGCAUCAGGUAACAUCAAAUCGUACCCCAAACCGACACAGGUGGUCAGGUAGAGAAUACCAAGGCGCUUGAGAGAACUCGGGUGAAGGAACUAGGCAAAAUGGUGCCGUAACUUCGGGAGAAGGCACGCUGAUAUGUAGGUGAAGUCCCUCGCGGAUGGAGCUGAAAUCAGUCGAAGAUACCAGCUGGCUGCAACUGUUUAUUAAAAACACAGCACUGUGCAAACACGAAAGUGGACGUAUACGGUGUGACGCCUGCCCGGUGCCGGAAGGUUAAUUGAUGGGGUUAGCCGCAAGGCGAAGCUCUUGAUCGAAGCCCCGGUAAACGGCGGCCGUAACUAUAACGGUCCUAAGGUAGCGAAAUUCCUUGUCGGGUAAGUUCCGACCUGCACGAAUGGCGUAAUGAUGGCCAGGCUGUCUCCACCCGAGACUCAGUGAAAUUGAACUCGCUGUGAAGAUGCAGUGUACCCGCGGCAAGACGGAAAGACCCCGUGAACCUUUACUAUAGCUUGACACUGAACAUUGAGCCUUGAUGUGUAGGAUAGGUGGGAGGCUUUGAAGUGUGGACGCCAGUCUGCAUGGAGCCGACCUUGAAAUACCACCCUUUAAUGUUUGAUGUUCUAACGUUGACCCGUAAUCCGGGUUGCGGACAGUGUCUGGUGGGUAGUUUGACUGGGGCGGUCUCCUCCUAAAGAGUAACGGAGGAGCACGAAGGUUGGCUAAUCCUGGUCGGACAUCAGGAGGUUAGUGCAAUGGCAUAAGCCAGCUUGACUGCGAGCGUGACGGCGCGAGCAGGUGCGAAAGCAGGUCAUAGUGAUCCGGUGGUUCUGAAUGGAAGGGCCAUCGCUCAACGGAUAAAAGGUACUCCGGGGAUAACAGGCUGAUACCGCCCAAGAGUUCAUAUCGACGGCGGUGUUUGGCACCUCGAUGUCGGCUCAUCACAUCCUGGGGCUGAAGUAGGUCCCAAGGGUAUGGCUGUUCGCCAUUUAAAGUGGUACGCGAGCUGGGUUUAGAACGUCGUGAGACAGUUCGGUCCCUAUCUGCCGUGGGCGCUGGAGAACUGAGGGGAGCUGCUCCUAGUACGAGAGGACCGGAGUGGACGCAUCACUGGUGUUCGGGUUGUCAUGCCAAUGGCACUGCCCGGUAGCUAAAUGCGGAAGAGAUAAGUGCUGAAAGCAUCUAAGCACGAAACUUGCCCCGAGAUGAGUUCUCCCUGACCCUUUAAGGGUCCUGAAGGAACGUUGAAGACGACGACGUUGAUAGGCCGGGUGUGUAAGCGCAGCGAUGCGUUGAGCUAACCGGUACUAAUGAACCGUGAGGCUUAACCUU